CUUUAAAAGGCGCUCGACAAAAAAUUCACUUAAGUUUUCGCUGAAAGGCAACUUUCACCGCACUCUCUCGCGACCUUUAGAAACCCUAUCUCUCUCAACUCCCCUUUCACAUCGCUGAAACACUCCAUCGCCCCCACGAUCUUCACGAGGACACCUCCACAAUCAUCGAGAUCUCCUUCAUGAGGUCUCUCUCGAGCCCACAGGUUUCUUCGCCUCCACGAUCUCCUUUGCGAUCUCCAUCGAUGCCGCGACGCCAUCGACUCGGCGACGCUGUGGAUGCCAUCGUCUUCUUCGCAUCAGUCAUCACCUGCCGCCAUCUUCCUCUCAACGGAUCUCUCUCGUCGUCUAUCUCUCGAUGGUUCUCUCUGGUCAGCGCUCUCUGUCUUGUGAUCUGUCUCUCUAGCUCGUCCCCAAAGCUUCUCAUGUCUACACUCUCAAGGUAACCCUCUCUCUCUCUAUCACUCUUCUAUGUUCAAAAUUUUAUCCUAAAAUUCGUUUGAUUGGAGAUCAAGAUUUUAUCAAGGUAUCAUCUCCCUCUUUUCCUUUUUGUUUCAAUUUUGUUUAUGCUAUUGUGAUUUGAUUUGCUGUUUUAAUUUCUAUAUUUAUAUGUGGUGUUGGAUUUUUUAUAUUUGAUUUCAGAUUCGAUUGGGUUAGUGAGGUAGCAGUGUCAUUCUUUCAGCCUAAUAUUCUUUUUGCGUUGUUUUUUUUUACUUAAAUUGUAAGGAUAUGGCUGCUGUGUUCUGUAGGCUAUAGAGGUGAAGCUAGCUGCAGUAAGGGAGGCCUUGCAAGACAGGUAAAACUUUAACUUGGUUUCUGAUUAAGUGACUAUGAUAUUGAAUGAGAUAUUGGGUUUGCUCUGUUUGGGGCCUUGCCGAGUUCUAUCACCCUGAGAAGGAGUAUAAUGUUCGUGUUGCUUCAAGGAAUGUGGGAAGACACUUGCUGGACAGAACUGCCCUUAUUAAAGCUACAUUGUUUUAGGAAACAAGUCCCCUUCUCCCUCCACGCCCACCCUCUUUUUCUUUAUUUUGAGGACUUUUAGUUUAUACUAUGAAAUGAUGGUUAUUAGUAACAUAAAUUUUUUGUGUUCAGAUUUGUCUUAUGCUCUUCCCCCGGCCCCCAUUUGAUUUCAGGUAUUCAAAGGUCCUGAGCUUCUUGUUGAUUCACAAGAUUAUGAUUAUUCUUUAGACUUGUGGAGUCUUGGUUGCAUGUUUGCUAGAAUGAUGGCGAGAGUCAAAAUUUGAUACCAUGUCAAAGUAUGUGAUGCUCUCUUGUGAUGCUUAGCCUUGUGCUGUACAGAUAUUUUGUAAGGAGCCAUUGUUCUAUGGACAUGAUAACUAUGAUCGGCUAGUCAAAAUAGCAAAGUGCAAGAAGACAGCGCUAACUCAUACACACAAGAACAAAUUGAUGAAAUUUGGAUCGAAUGGGCAGCAUUUAUGAGCAAUCACAUGCAGCUCUUCUAUUUCUAAUUAUAGUUUAUUGCUAUGGAUAUGUUAUUUUUUAUGGAUAUGGUAGGAAUCAAGAUUGAUAAAUUAUGUAAUUACUAUUGAAUCUUUAAGUUUUAUGAAAGAAACAAUUUUUGAGUA